GGAUUAGAUACCCUGGUAGUCCACGCCGUAAACGAUGUCAACUAGCUGUCUGUGUUCUUGAAACGUGGGUAGCGUAGCUAACGCGCUAAGUUGACCGCCUGGGGAGUACGGCCGCAAGGUUAAAACUCAAAUGAAUUGACGGGGGCCCGCACAAGCGGUGGAGCAUGUGGUUUAAUUCGAUGCAACGCGAAGAACCUUACCAUCCCUUGACAUCCAGAGAAUUUUCUAGAGAUAGAUUGGUGCCUUCGGGAACUCUGACACAGGUGCUGCAUGGCUGUCGUCAGCUCGUGCCG
rnacentral:rRNA from 1 species